AACGAACGCUGGCGGCAUGCCUAACACAUGCAAGUCGAACGGGAUCCAUCUUUCGGGAUGGUGAGAGUGGCGGACGGGUGAGUAACGCGUGGGAACCUGCCCGGUGGUGGGGGAUAACUGCGGGAAACUGCAGCUAAUACCGCAUGAUCCCGAAAGGGGAAAGAUUUAUCGCCAUUGGAGGGGCCCGCGUUCGAUUAGGUAGUUGGUGAGGUAAUGGCUCACCAAGCCGACGAUCGAUAGCUGGUCUGAGAGGAUGAUCAGCCACACUGGGACUGAGAUACGGCCCAGAAUCCUACGGGAGGCAGCAGUGGGGAAUAUUGGACAAUGGGGGCAACCCUGAUCCAGCAAGGCCGCGUGAGUGAUGAAGGCCUUCGGGUUGUAAAGCUCUUUUGGCGGGGACGAUGAUGACGGUACCCGCAGAAUAAGCCCCGGCUAACUUCGUGCCAGCAGCCGCCGUAACAC
rnacentral:rRNA from 1 species